UACGAAGGGGGCUAGCGUUGCUCGGAAUCACUGGGCGUAAAGGGUGCGUAGGCGGCGGGGAAAGUCUGAUGUGAAAUCCUGGGGCUCAACCCUGGAACUGCAUUGGAUACUUCCUUGCUAGAGUACUGGAGAGGAAACUGGAAUUUACGGUGUAGCAGUGAAAUGCGUAGAGAUCGUAAGGAAGACCAGUGGCGAAGGCGAGUUUCUGGACAGUUACUGACGCUGAGGCACGAAGGCCAGGGGAGCAAACGGG
rnacentral:rRNA from 1 species